GAAUCAUUCACAAUGGGCGAAAGCCUGAUGGUGCGACGCCGCGUGGGGGACGAAGGUCUUCGGAUUGUAAACCCCUGUCACCGGGGACAAAACGUCGUUUGUUAAUAGCAGACGGCCUGAUUUAACCCGGAGAGGAAGCAGUGGCUAACUCUGUGCCAGCAGCCGCGGUAAUACAGAGACUGCAAGCGUUGUUCGGAUUCACUGGGCGUAAAGGGUGCGCAGGCGGCCGGGUGUGUCGGGUGUGAAAGCUCGAGGCUCAACCUCGAAACUGCGCCCGAAACUAUUCGGCUAGAGUACUGGGGAGGGAAGCGGAAUUCACGGUGUAGCAGUGAAAUGCGUAGAUAUCGUGAGGAACACCAAUGGCGAAGGCAGCUUCCUGGACAGUUACUGACGCUCAGGCACGAAAGCGUGGGGAGCAAAAGGG
rnacentral:rRNA from 1 species